GCUCGCGUAGCUCAGAAGGCCUAGAGCGUUCGGUUCACAUCCGAAAGGUCCCUGGUUCAAAUCCAGGCGCGAGCACCC
rnacentral:tRNA from 3 species